CAAACCUACCUCAUCAGAUGGAUUAACUCUGGCGUGGUCCGCCCCUCACUAGACCUCCUCGGACUGCCUAUAAAAGGCCUACCCGAGCUUCAUUCAUCACUCACACCACUCCAUCAUCAUCCCAAUCGACCUCUCGCACACUCCCUCGACCUCGAGAAGGUCUUCUUCUCCACUUCCGGCUCCGUUCCGCCGCGGUACCCGAGAACCUCUCGUCGCCGUUAGGCCAUCUUCGCCACCAAAACAUCGUAAGUAGUCGUCUAGUCCACCAUGUAGUCGAUCCCGCGCCUCAAUUCGUCAACCGGAGCCCUCUUCGGCGGGAUCCGCCACCACCCGACGCCACCGUCCGCCGGAAACGACCUCGCCAUCAUUCUGGUGCUCGCCAGCGACAACCACCACCACCCACUGAUGUGGGGUGCCACCCCGAGCACAUCCCAGCCAUUGCCACCUCCUGAAACGCCGGCGAUCGCCGCCGGUGACCACUGCACCCCCUCCGUACGCGCGCACGAUCAUGGUCCUGGAGGAGGACGAGCUUGUGGAGGAAGGUUGCGCUAGCGAGCCCGACGCUUAGAGUUGUUCCUGGUUAGUCAACCGUGGUCUUGGAGUCUACCACAUGUAUCAUCCGCUGUGCUUUCGCUUCCCAAAUAAAAUAGUCAAGCCUCACUCUGAUGCUUGGCUCUAUUUUAUUGUAUCGGUGUUGUACUACCAUCAAACCACUGUCAUAUACCGCCACCACCAUAUAUUGCAAAUUUGUAAUAAAUAGUGGAGCACCCUGGCUCAACCCGAUGUAAUAUUAUGUCGUACUGGUUAUAAAUAUCAAGGAAGUCCACCAGUUGUUUUGAUCU